rnacentral:rRNA from 1 species
AAAGGAAUUGACGGGGGCCCGCACAAGCGGUGGAGCAUGUGGUUUAAUUCGACGCAACGCGAAGAACCUUACCAGGAUUUGACAUCCUCUGCUAGCGCAAGAGAUUGCGUUUUUAAUCUUCGGAUUAACAGAGAGACAGGUGGUGCAUGGUUGUCGUCAGCUCGUGUCGUGAGAUGUUGGGUUAAGUCCCGCAACGAGCGCAACCCUUAUUCUUAGUUGCCAGCAUUAUGGAUGGGCACUCUAAGGAGACUGCCGGUGACAAACCGGAGGAAGGUGGGGAUGACGUCAAAUCAUCAUGCCCUUUAUGUCCUGGGCUACACACGUGCUACAAUGGCCUGUACAGCGGGUAGCGAAGUCGCAAGAUGGAGCCAAUCCCCCAAAGCAGGUCUCAGUUCGGAUUGCAGGCUGCAACUCGCCUGCAUGAAGUAGGAAUCGCUAGUAAUCGCGGAUCAGCAUGCCGCGGUGAAUACGUUCCCGGGCCUUGUACACACCGCCCGU